rnacentral:rRNA from 1 species
CGGGUGAGUAAUACAUAAGUAACCUGCCCUAGACAGGGGGAUAACUAUUGGAAACGAUAGCUAAGACCGCAUAGGUACGGACACUGCAUGGUGACCGUAUUAAAAGUGCCUCAAAGCACUGGUAGAGGAUGGACUUAUGGCGCAUAGCUGGUUGGCGGGGUAACGGCCCACCAAGGCGACGAUGCGUAGCCGACCUGAGAGGGUGACCGGCCACACUGGGACUGAGACACGGCCCAGACUCCUACGGGAGGCAGCCAUG